AUUGAACGCUGGCGGCAGGCCUAACACAUGCAAGUCGAACGGUAACAGGAAGAAUCUUGCUUCUUUGCUGACGAGUGGCGGACGGGUGAGUAAUGUCUGGGAAACUGCCUGAUGGAGGGGGAUAACUACUGGAAACGGUAGCUAAUACCGCAUAAUGUCGCAAGACCAAAGAGGGGGACCUUCGGGCCUCUUGCCAUCGUAUGUGCCCAGAUGGGAUUAGAUAGUAGGUGGGGUAACGUCUCACCUAGGCGACGAUCCCUAGCUGGUCUGAGAGGAUGACCAGCCACACUGGAACUGAGACAGGGUCCAGACUCCUACGGGAGGCAGCAGUGGGGAAUAUUGCACAAUGGGCGCAAGCCUGAUGCAGCUAUGCCGCGUGUAUGAAGAAGGCCUUCGGGUUGUAAAGUACUUUCAGCGGGGAGGAAGGGAGUAAAGUUAAUACCUUGGCUCAUUGACGUUACCCGCAGAAGAAGCACCGGCUAACUACGUG
rnacentral:rRNA from 1 species